UACGUAGGGUGCAAGCGUUAAUCGGAAUUACUGGGCGUAAAGCGUGCGCAGGCGGCUUUGUAAGUCAGCUGUGAAAUCCCCGGGCUUAACCUGGGAACUGCGUUUGAAACUACAAGGCUAGAGUGUGGCAGAGGGGGGUGGAAUUCCACGUGUAGCAGUGAAAUGCGUAGAGAUGUGGAGGAACACCGAUGGCGAAGGCAGCCCCCUGGGUUAACACUGACGCUGAGGCACGAAAGCGUGGGGAGCAAACAGG
rnacentral:rRNA from 1 species